rnacentral:rRNA from 1 species
UGCCGCCCUGAAGGGCGUAUGGUGGAUGCCUUGGCAGACAGUACCGAUGAAGGACGUUUGAGGAUGCGAUAAGCCUCGGGGAGCCUCCAACAUGGCUUCGAUCCGAGGAUUUCCGAAUGGGGCAACCCGCCGGCCGUCAUGGGCCGGCACGGAACCUUGUUGUUCCGGGGGUACGCAGGGAAGUGAAACAUCUCAGUACCUGCAGGAAGGGAUACUCCGUGAGUAGUGGCGAGCGAAAGCGGAUCAGACCAAACCAUGGGCGCGUGAUACCCGUCGGGGGUUGCGUCCGUGGUGUUGCGGGAGCGUGUGUCCCGGUUCCGACGGACCGGGCGGGAGUCAUAAAACGGCUUGCCAGGGGAACAGGCUUGAAGGCCUGGCCGCAGAGGGUGCCAGCCCCGUACCUGGAAGCUUGCCGUCUUCCGAUCACGUGUCCCAAGUAGCGCGGGCCUCGUGGAAUCCCGUGUGAAUCGGCCCCGACCGUGGGGUAAGUCUAAGCAUACCUGUCUGACCGAUAGCGUACCAGUACCGUGAGGGAAAGGUGAAAAGCACCCCGGGAGGGGAGUGAAAGAGUUCCUGAAACCGUGCGCCUACAAUCCGUCGGAGCCUCCUUGGUGGGGUGACGGCGUGCCUAUCGAAAAAUGAGUCUGCGAGUCAGUGGUGCGUGGCGAGGCUAACCCGUCGUGGGGGAGCCGUAGCGAAGGCGAGUCUCAAAAGGCGUUUUGAGUCGCGUGCCCUGGACCCGAAGCGGGAUGAUCUAGCCCUGGGCAGGUUGAAGCGCGGGUAAGACCGCGUGGAGGACCGAACCCACCUGGGUUGAAAACCGGGGGGAUGACCUGGGGCUAGGGGUGAAAGGCCAAUCAAAUUCCGUGAUAGCUGGUUCUCUCCGAAAUGCAUUUAGGUGCAGCGUCGGUUGAUUGCAUCGCGGGGGUAGAGCUACUGGAUGCUUGCGGGCCCGUAUGGGGUACCAACAGCAGCCAAACUCCGAAUACCGUUGAUGUGUAUUCCGGCAGUGAGUCGGCGGGGGAUAAGCUCCGUCGUCGAGAGGGAGACAGCCCAGAUCGUCGUCUAAGGUCCCGAAGCGUGUGCUAAGUGGGAAAGGAUGUGGAGUCGCAUAGACAGCCAGGAGGUUGGCUCAGAAGCAGCCAUCCUUGAAAGAGUGCGUAACAGCUCACUGGUCUAGUGGUUCCGCGCCGACAAUGUAGCGGGGCUCAAGCACACCACCGAAGACGCGGCAGCGGCCUUUAGGGCUGCUGGGUAGGAGAGCGUCCCCCGAGGGGCGAAGCGGCCGCGCAAGCGCGCCGUGGACUUCGGGGGAGUGAGAAUGCAGACAUGAGUAGCGAGAGACGGGUGAGGAUCCCGUCCGCUGGAUGACCAAGGGUUCCGGGGCCACGUUCGUCGUCCCCGGGUGAGUCGGGUCCUAAGGCGAGGCCGACAGGCGUAGUCGAAUGGAUGAACGGGUGGAUAUUCCCGUACCGGCAGCGAACCGCAAGAGCCGAACGGAUGAGUACUAACCUCCGGUCGCGUGGCGUCGUUCCCUUCGGGGUUCGGGGCGCGCGAUUGUUGGGAAUGUAGUCCUGGUAGGUUAGCGCACAGGGGUGACACGGAAUGGGAGCCGGCCGCGGAGGUGGUUUUCCGUGGUCAAGCACGCAGCCCGUCCCAUAGGCAAAUCCGUGGGACAUGCAGGGUGAGGUGCGAUGAUGGGCGCCUUCAUGGCGCGAUAUCCGGUGGUCCAGGCCGUCGAGAAAAGCCUCGGCGCGAGGGGCGUUGCCGCCCGUACCCCAAACCGACACUGGUGGUCAGGUAGAGAAUACCAAGGCGAUCGAGCGAAUCCUGGUCAAGGAACUCGGCAAAUCACUCCCGUGCCUUCGGUAUAAGGGAGACCCCUGAUGGUGAUGGAACUUGCUUCCGGAGCUUUCGGGGGUGGCACAGACCAGGGGGUAGCGACUGUUUACCAAAAACACAGGUGCAUGCGAAGGCGCAAGCCGCUGUAUAUGCACUGACGCCUGCCCGGUGCCGGAAGGUUAAGAGGAUCCGUCAGCCCUCGGGUGAAGCGGUGAAUUCAAGCCCCGGUAAACGGCGGUGGUAACUAUAACCAUCCUAAGGUAGCGAAAUUCCUUGUCGGGUAAGUUCCGACCUGCACGAAUGGCGUAACGACUUCCCC